UAGGGAAUAUUAGUAAUGGGCGAAAGCCUGAACUAGCAACGCCGCGUGUGCGAAGAAGGCCUUCGGGUUGUAAAGCACUUUUUGAGAGGAUGAGGAAGGACGGUACUCUCAGAAUAAGUCUCGGCUAACUACGUGCCAGCAGCCGCGGUAACACGUAGGAGGCGAACGUUAUCCGGAUUUACUGGGCGUAAAGCGCGUGUAGGUGGUUUGGUAAGUAGGGCGUGAAAGCUCCUGGCUCAACUGGGAGAGGCCGUUCUAAACUGCCGAACUAGAGGAUGGUAGAGGGAGGUGGAAUUCCGGGUGUGGCAGUGGAAUGCGCAGAUAUCCGGAGGAACACCAGUGGCGAAAGCGGCCUCCUGGACCACUCCUGACACUCAGACGCGAAAGCUAGGGUAGCAAACGG
rnacentral:rRNA from 1 species